GAUGAACGCUGGCGGCGUGCCUAAUACAUGCAAGUCGAGCGAACAGACGAGGAGCUUGCUCCUCUGACGUUAGCGGCGGACGGGUGAGUAACACGUGGAUAACCUACCUAUAAGACUGGGAUAACUUCGGGAAACCGGAGCUAAUACCGGAUAAUAUAUUGAACCGCAUGGUUCAAUAGUGAAAGCGGGUUUGCUUGUACCUAAUAGUUGAUCCGCGCCGCAUUAGCUAGUUGGUAAGGUAACGGCUUACCAAGGCAACGAUGCGUAGCCGACCUGAGAGGGUGAUCGGCCACACUGGAACUGAGACACGGUCCAGACUCCUACGGGAGGCAGCAGUAGGGAAUCUUCCGCAAUGGGCGAAAGCCUGACGGAGCAACGCCGCGUGAGUGAUGAAGGUCUUCGGAUCGUAAAACUCUGUUAUUAGGGAAGAACAAAUGUGUAAGUAACUAUGCACGUCUUGACGGUACCUAAUCAGAAAGCCACGGCUAACUACGUG
rnacentral:rRNA from 1 species